GUGGGUCCCGCCAUCGGACGCCUCGCCGGAGGCGCGGGCUGCGCGCGAUGAAGGAGAGCGCCGAGCUCCGGGCGCCAAGAACGUGGGCCCGCGGGCACCCAGAGGACAGAGGUUCACACGGCAGAUGUCAGACUCUCAGACACAGCGAGGGACUCCCGCAGGCCCCCCUGCACUGCCCUGCUUCACGUGGUGGAAGAAGAAAAGGGAAGUGGGAUUCAGGAGCACAGGGCCACAGCUUGCCUCCUCUCCCUUGGCGUCUUUCCUUCCAGCUGUGGGCCCCCACCUUCCCCUUUUCUUCUCUGUCACUAUAGUGUUUUAGGGUCCAUCCCUGUGUGUUUAUUUUCUUAGAUUUUUUUGGUUGUUACAGAAAACCAGCUCAAAGUGGAUCUUACAAAUGAGGGCAUGUAUUGAUUGGCUCCUGAGACUGCUAAGUGUCAAGCGUCACCUCUUUCACCUGGCUGUGGACCAGCGUGGUGCAAUGCAUGUACAUCCUACUGAUGUUAACACCUGGGCCCUAGGACUGACCUUUGCCCACCUGAACUGGGUCAGGGACCAAUAGAGGCAGGAACCCCUGCUUACCCAAGGAAAGUGAGGGUCUGGGACCAGAAUGACAGAUGGAGGCUGGCAGCAAAAACGGGGCGGGGAUGUCUCCUCACUACCUGGGGAGAAUUUUCAUGCACUUUCUGCUCCCAGGAGACAUAAGACAGGAGAGAGAGGAGAGCCCUUCCAAAAGAGCUCCCAUAGCCCUGGCCCACUUCACCUUCUGGAAGCUCCUGGAGUACUACUGUCCUGGGCUUGCUCCCCCUGUGGCCACCCUGCUCCUCUCCAGGGGUAAAACACAUUCAGUGACCAACUUGGAACCCAGCGUGCCUUCCAGCAUCCUCAGGCCUGGGCUGUACCCUUCAUCUAGCAGCUGGGCAGGAGUCUGGACAGCUGGCACAGAAGCCAGUGGUGAGAAGAGAGCCCAUGGAAACCCUGCAGAGAGUGAGAAUGAGCACAUAUCUCACCUUUCACUUCACAGGCUUGGGGCAGGACUCCCUGGGCAUGGAGGACAAUCAGGGCCUGCCUCUGUCUGUCCUGCACCUCCAGCAUCCAAGGACAUGCACCCACAGUGUGGGUGGCCCAGGUGGAGGUGUUGUGUACCAAGGUAAGAACUCAGGCCUGCGAGUGGUAGGUGGGCUGACAGACUGGGUGUCUCCACCAGCUUGGAGUGGUUAGGAGGCUGUCCUUGCCCCGACCCCUUUUUAAUUUGGGAGGCACUCAAAGGUCUUUACAAACCUCACCUUGUUCCUUUUUCCUGAUUCUGAGAGUGUGUCGGGCAGCUGAGGAAUCUGCUUAUUCUACUAAAGAUUUGGCAGUCAGCAUGGCUAGAAACUUUUGGCCCAUGUGUGGAAUCUCACCCAUCAGCACACCCUGUCCACAAUGAGCAAAAGGAAGCCAUGUCAAAUGUCAAGGUGGAGACGCUUUGCUCUUCCUGUAUCCUCUCAGGAGGAAUAGCCUCAGGAGAGGUGUCUGGGCCCACAGAGACGUAGAGCCACACACUAUCCCAGAUCCACUGCAUGGCCCAGGUCUGGGCCUUUCUGCACUGUGCUGGGGGUGGAGUACAUAAGCCCAGGUUCUUGGGGGGUGGGGUGGGAGCAGUUUUUUUCAAGUGAGCAGCUUGUCAAGAAUCACUGAGGGCAGAGACAGACAGGAAUCCACAUGCUUCUGGUUUUCCCUCUCUCUUGUGACUGUCCAUCCUCUUCUGGGCAGAGCGUCCCCAAAGAGCACUGUAGCCAUGGAGCUCUGUAGUCCCCCAGCUCUGGACUUAGAAGGUCUGCUGCCCUGUGCACCAGCAACAGGCCUUCCGUGUGCACUGGCACCAUACUGAGGCAGAGUCAGAUGCAGGAGCAACCUUGGACCCUGAAUCUGACCCACAAAGCUUUAGCUGCUGACCCCAGGUCAACAGCACCACAGGUGGGCAGCUCUGGAGAGGGGCUGGGGGCAGGGAGCGUCAGUGUGCAUGUCUCCACCAGUUUAUUUUUAGUUGUGUUAUGUAAGUGGCUUCAUCUCAACGUCACGUAGGAAGGGGGGUCUCAGAUUUAAUUGCAGGAUGACAGCCUUUGCAUCUCAAGCAAGCUGUUCCCCUGGCAAGGCAGCACAGUGAUUGGGAGUUUUUGCUCGACAGAAGGUCCUUUAUGAAGUGACCACCCAUCGAAGCCUUAACCUGUUUUCUUCUCCAUCUUCUGCUGACCUGCCCAGCCAGCUUCAGCUGAGCUUGGUCUGAGAGGGUAGUCCUUUGCGGAAAUCACAGGGGACUGGGAAGGGAUGCUGACUGGCUCGCUGGGGACACUGGCUCCUCAGCCUGAAGCUUCGUCUCUCUCCAAGGGAGGGGUCCACCCAGUCAGACUUACUACUCCCUUUUCUCACCCCUGGAUUGAGCACUUGUAAUCAGUAACCAGAAAGUUUGAGAGCAGUAGAGGCCAGAAGACACAGGAGCUGGUCUGCAUGUUUCCAGGACAGAGUCAGGAGGGUCCUCCUCUACAUCCUCCCCACCCUUGCUACCCAUUUCCUCCCUGCACAACAGGUCCCUUGACCAGGUCACUAGGCAGAACUGUGUGGGGAGCACUGUUUUCCUGGUUCCUGAACCCACAGGACAGUUGGCUGCCUUCUUCAGACCCGCCGACCAGCCACUUAAUCAGCAAGAACACACUGGGCUGGGUGGGGAGUUCUCUGCCAGCAGCAGGGCUGUCACAGCUGCCUCCAGCACAUUCAGCUUUGUCCAGCAUGCAGGGCAGGGCCCCAUUUCUGUGUUAGGCCAUUGCCUGCCAGGGCAAGAAGGACAGGGUCAGACAGGGUGUUGGCAGGCCUAGGGUGCAACACAGGGUCAAGGAGUCAGUUCCAGGAGCCAUUUCCUCUGCAUGGCAGGAUGGGGCUGCUGCAUAGCCCUGUUGGGAGGAGUCAGGCCAUGGAGGGGCAUGAAGAGUCCGGAGAACUGGACCUAGAGCUUAGUGAGCCCGCCGUGUGUUAGGGUUAGACAGGACAUGAGGAACACUCAAUUGUUGCCCAGAGAGUCGGGUCAGAGGCUAUCCUUUAAAAAGUGAGGGUGCCUCAGGGAGGUGGAGCCCAAUGGACUAGGAAUCCAAUGUCACUGUCACUGCCAGGUGACAAGGGCAGUACCAGCAAGAAGUCACGGUGACAGCAUGGACCCUUCAUGUGACAUGACAAAAAGGGCACAUUACCUAUUCCAUUUCUUCCCUAAACGCCAAGUGCCUGUCCAGUCUGAGAAAAACAGGUAAAUGCCAUCAGAGGGCAGGCUACAGAAUCCAUGACCACUGCCCUCAACUUGUCACCACUGUCAGAGACAAGGGAAGUCUGCAAAACUGCAGGCCCACAGCGGCUCCAGGAGACAGGAAAACUAAAGGUCAUGAGGGAUUCUGGACAAAAAGAAGACACAAGGUAAAAGAAAUCUGAAUAAGCUAUGGAUUUCAGUUAAGCCUAAUGGGUCAUUAUUGCAUGACAGUGAGGGAGACUUUACAGUAAGUGUGCAAAUAUAAAACUGGUGUGGGAUUAAGCCUGCUAAAAGGAGGCAGCAGUGUGGACACAAGCCCCCAGUUCGCCUGCACUCCACCCUGGAAGCUGCCAGACCCUGCAUCCCCUCUCUUUUACUGUGUGAUCAGAAGUUGGAGCAGUGGCCCCUGUGGUCCUGUACUGCUAGACAGACAGCACCCUGGGGGUAGCACUCUGCAAAGGGGUCCUGUCCAGGAGGUACAUGGGGCCUCAGGGUCUUGGCCUUGCAGCUCACAAGACCUCAGGUCACAGGGCACCAGCUGUGGUUCCAGCUGGUGACCCCUCCCUCCCACCCUCCAGGUGUAAGCUCCUCCCACCCUUCUUCCUGACCACAUUUUAGGUUUUCUGUCCAUGACCUGACUUGGUUCCAGGGCUUUUCUCCCUGACCACAACAUGGGCCACAUUUCUGGCCAUAGAUGGUGCAGAUCCAGCUCAGCACAUCCAGUGAUCUCUGGUGUUACCUCCUCUGGGAUGGAGACACAGAGUGCAACUGGGAGGAAAAUGCAGGGCAGGGCUGUCUCCAGGGAGAUUCCAUGCCUGGAAGGUAUGGGCAUGGCUUCCUGGGCUCUUUAGGGCCCUUUGUGCUUGGUCCAGUUUAGGCUCUUCUAGAGAGAUGGCCUGGAAAGUUCCGACCCAGGCUUGCUGCGGCCUCCACACAGGCCAGGCUGGGAGGGCAGAGGGCCUUUCUGCUGAGCGUGGAGGGGACGGAGCUGUGGCCUCCUACUGGAGUCUGCCCUGCUGCCCUGGUGGGGGGGUGUUGCUUGAAGAGGUUCCCCAGCAACCAGCCCCCUUAUAUAACCUGCACAUCGCAUCGGCGUGACUCCAGGUGCCGUGGGAGGCAGCGUGGGGGUGAGCACAGGGGCUUGAACGAGCCUCGAGCUUCCUAGGGUGCUGCUGCUCCUCUUGUUGCAUCCCAGCGUCAUCCUGCGUCUGCCAGCUCGGUCACCCACUUACCUAUCAGAAUGCAUUAAGUGACAAUGCAGACUUAAAUAACUCCCGCAGGUGAUAGGCCUGCCAUGGAGCCCUCUACAGCCAGGCCCUCCUGUGCCUGCCAAGGUGAGGCAGGGAGGGCGAGGUCCAGAGGAAGGACAGGCCGUGCCUGAGGAACAGCACUGGCUGCUUUGGCCACGAGGGUAGAGCCAGGCCAGGCGUUGGGAGGAGUGCAUGGCAGGGUUAGGUCUCGGCCCAGGCUUUGGGACCACAGCCAGGUUUGGAAUGAAGGUGGGUGCCCUGGUGCCGUCUGGAUGGGAAGUUUACCCCUGUGCAGAGCACCUGAGACUCUGCAGCCAGCUCAUGCUGGCUUUGCCCAGUGACUGGGUGGGCAGGAAAACUGAACAGGGUCAGCGCCUCUGUGACUGAGCACGCUGAGAGGAUAGCAGCUGCCCAGCAUGGGGUGUGCUGGCUGUGCGCACCUGCUUCUCACAGGGCCCUCAGGAUUGGGUGGUCACUCAGCCCCCGGGCAAAGAUGAGAGAGGAACUUGGCUUCACACCCCCUGUAUUCCUUCAUUUGUCCCCUGAGACAGAUGCCAUCUGAUUGCUCUGCCUCCCAAAUGACUUGCAGUGCUUCAAAAGUGGUUGAAGAUAUUUCUGGGUGGGGAAAGGGAUUCUGCUCUUCAGAAUCUGGAGUUGGAGGACACCCUGGGAGAAGUCCUGAGCGGGUCCCCAUGGGUCCUUCCACACUGGAGACAGCAGAGCUGUACCUGCCAUCGCCAGCUUUUCCUGCCGGGGUGAGGAGCCCAGACAUUUCCAUGCUGCUUUACAGUCACAGAUGGCUUCCCUGCCCAGGGCUGGCUGCUUCUAAUUUCGGCUGCCGGAGGCUCCUUGCUCGCUCACUCGCUCUCUUUUUUUAAUUCCAUGUUUAUUUAAAGCCAGAUUUUGAAAUGUUGUCUUCAACCCUAAAAUCUGACUUUUUCUUCUUGCAACAGAUCCUAAAACCCCCUUAGUACCCAAAGGGUGGGGGAACUUUUGAAGACAGAUCCAACUGCCCCCUUGUACCACACUGUGAGUAAACAUUUGGACGGUCGACUGGUGUCCCCUUAGAGCAGUUCAGUAGAGUCAACACAGAGCACAGGAUGUCCCCUGUAUAUGGCCUGUGUUUACAGAUAAACGAGGAGAGAUGGUGUGGGUAACUCCAGUGAAGUGCAAGAAGCACCCCAUGCCUACUGCUGGCUGUCUGGUCUGUCCUGUCAUUUCCUGUCACAGUCAUUGUGCAGUAGGGCCAGGCACGGCCCAGGCAUGUCACUCCUGGAGGUAGGACAGGGACGAGAUGGGCAGUUCCCGCUGGAGGGGUAGCACCGGUGCUCAGGUGGGCUGUGAGUCUCCCAUCUCCCUCUUCCCAGCAGUUGAUGCUUUCUUCACCCAACCUGAAAGCCACACAGUUUCUUCUUGCUCCCUGAGAAAGCUCAUCCAGAAGAGGUCUUCCAGAUUAGAAUAGGGAGUAGGACAUGUGUCCACUCACGUAUGGACAACACACUGGACUGCUCCAACAGGAACACACUGGACAGCAGCUCAGCCUUUAUUUGUUCAGUGUCAAACACGGCAGUGGGAUUCUUCCCCUGGUUGUGGGACCCUAAAGACUCAGCCCAUGGGUGCAGGUGUUCUGGAAACACGAGGGUCUCUUGCCUUUGACACACUACAGUGCUGCCCUUCUGCAGCUUAUGCUAGAAUGUACUUGAAGGGCCUUGAAGAAAGGGGGACCAUUUUGGGGGGGCUACAGAGCAGAGACAACACCAGCUCCCAGGAGUGUGAGUGGGGUGGGCACCAGCAGGAGGAAGGAGUGUAUUUACCUGGCCAGAUGCUCCUGAGGAAACAGGCUGGAGGCUCAUGUGCUUAAAGUGGGGCCCCAGCGCAGCAGACUGGGCCACAGGGCUGCCCUCGGGACUGGAGCUAGUGUGCUAAGGGUGUGCAGGCAGGCACAGCUGGGACAGCUGCCCAAGGGCUGCUGGGGACACUGGCCAAGUCCCUGCAUGGAUGCUCUGCCAAUCUCCAUCCAAACUAAUGCUGGAGCUAUGGGGGCCCAGAGAGGGGUAGGUGCCAUUUCUAGUGAGGGUCCAGCAGUUUCCCGAGGCUGUGGAUUCCUGCCAGGGCCUCUAUACCCUGAGAAGUGCAGAGAGCUGGGAUGGUGUCCCUGGCAUGUCUGGUCAGAAACAGUAAGAUUUUGAGAAAAAGAGUGUGAGUGUUAAGCUUGAGAAUGUCACUUCCCAGCAGGCUCCUCCUCCUCCUCACAAAGCUGGAAGAGAGAUCUUUUUAGAGGUUCAUGGAAAACUUUAGCUGUUCCCUAGCUGUCCAGAUGAAAAGCAUAUUCCACCCCAGGGGGAAAACAGCACCUCUGAAUGAAUUCGGACAACAUUUUACCCUCAAGUUACGGGAGGUCCACUUGGUGUGACCUUUGCAAACGUCUCUCUGCUGCCAGCUGAAAGAAGAAUACUGCAAGGUUUGGCAGCUCGCCCCUGGAGUCUGCUGUUAGUUCUCACCCAGAUUUGGAGAUUUUUCCUUGUGGCUGCAGGAGCCAACAGAGUCCUUUGUGCCUCAGGACUCAGAGCACCAGAGCCCUGUUGUAAUUUCCCUUCCUUCUUUGGUUCCUAGAGUUCCCACAGGAAAACCCUGUGCUCUCGAUUCUGCAUCAGGAACAUAGAAGCCAAGGCUGCGGCAGGGACACAAGCUUGCUACUACAGGGCCUUAGUGCCACCUUCAAGGGAAGUGUUUCCUUGUGGUUGGGGCAGGUCUGGUUCUCUGAGUGGCUGUUGUCCCAGGAGGAGAGCCCGAGGGUGCUUGUGCUGGAAGGGACCCACCCUGGGGCUUCCAGCCUAGGUGUGGGACCCAGCAUCAGUGCAUUUGGGUUUUAGAAUAGGCUUUGCUUGGUGGGAGACGCAGCUUUAGCCUCAUGGCCCCUCACCUGGCAUCAGUCCUGCCACUCUGCCCGCCCCUGGCCCUGACUGGGAGGGGUGGUGAGCUUAACACUACACUGCCACCUGGUGGACAGCCAGAAAAAGGCGCUGUGGGGUACCAGCCCCAGAGGGACAGGUGCUACGGCCAGUGGUUAGCAGGGACAAAGUGGGAGGCCACAGACUUGUGUGGCCAAGUGCAGGUGCAGAGCAGGUGUACUUGGUUUGUAGGACCAGGCUGGAAUCUGGACUCUGCUUCUGGAAAGUGCACCCUUCAAGCUGGCCAUUUCAGAAGGGAAGAGUAACACAUUCCCCUAGGGCCCAAGAGGAGACAGUGUGAGUUACGGUUCUGCCACGGAGCAGUGGAGUGAUUAGCCUGGACCUGCAAAAAGAAUGUCUGGGGAUGGCCUGUGAGCUUACCCUGCAGAAGUCUCCUGUUCACGUUUCCAAAGGGCCCCGGCCCUGUGACAACUUUUCUUUUAAAUGGAGCAAAACAUCACCAGCAAGAAGUUAGCAGUUCCAUCCAGUCUCGUGGCACUUAGCGCACUCAUGGUGAGGGAUGGCCGCCAGCUCGAUCUGGUCCUCAUCAUUUCCAUCAACCUGGAGGAGCCCCACAGCAUGAGCGGUCGUAUCCCAGCCCAGCCCAGCCUAGCCCGGCCACCGCCUAUCUGAGAAGUUGCCUGUCUAGAUGUUUUGUCUACAAGGCCACAUGGCACUACCUGCAAUGUCCGGCUUCUCACUGGGCAGCACAGUGAGGGUCCCCUGAGCCUUCACCCUGUAUGCUAAGUGAUGUUAAAACUGCAUGUGCUUGUGACAGUGUGAUCUUCACGUGCCAGCUGGUGGGUUUGGGGUAGACAUCUGGAUUUGGAACUGCUGGUUCACAUGAUGACCACCUCCAGCUUUUUCAAGACUUGGAGAAACGAUCUUGUGCAGUGGCCACACCACUUAACGUUCCCUCCAGCAGUGGACGAGGCUUCCGGUGUCUCCACAUCCUUACUAAUACUUAAUUUCCCUUUUUGUUUAUUUAUUUUGUCUCAAUUCUAGCUCUCAUAGUGGGUGUGAAGUGGAAUCUGUGGUUUUGAGUCAAAUGUCCCUGAUGACACACCUGAGCAUCCUCCCUGGUGGGUCCUGUCUUCUUAAAGGAGGAAGACUCCUCCCUAGAAUUCCAGUGUCUUCAUUCCAGUGCUCACUUUGGGAAGGGCCUGGAAGAUGCCUCAGUGGCCACCCAGCUCACACCUGGCCUGCUUUUGAGGGGCUUGGACCCAAACUCAGCUCCCCCACUGAGCUGCAUCUCUUGCCCGAGCAGCGUUUCAGAAACCCUGGGGGCAGUCAGGACUGUCCCUGAGUGAUUCCUGCCUGCCUUGAAGCCCACGCCGUGCUGGGGCAUCUGAAGGGGGUGGUGUGGACUGUGCUGUGAGCCCCGUGGGGCCUAGAUGGCCCCCCAGCUGCAUCACCGCCUGGUGCUCUUGGUAAGGAAGCAUGACACAUGCCUGCCAACACAGACAUAGGAACAAAUGAGCAAAAGUCCCCCCUGCUACCUGCAGAGACGGCGUGGAAGCCCAGGCCAGUGUGGCUCUGGCAGGCAGACAGGGCUGAGGUUGUCACAGCCAGGAGCCAGGGAGCCAGGCCACUGCCUGCCCAGGAUGGUGGGGCUGGCCCUGCAUCAGCCUCUCAAUACUGGAAGGGAAGCAGAGGUCCAGAGCUGGGAGGGGCGUUUCCAAGGUUGCAGGUGAUGGGGUGGAGGGCAGAGCUCUGUUGGCACCACUGGUCCCUUCCUGGCACGCAGCAACCAUGCGCACCGGCCUGGCAGAGUAGGAAUUGUCGAAAAGGCAGGGGUUACUGGGUUCUUGGGAAGGCUGAAGUGCUGCCUGAGAGUGACGGGAAGAGCUGUGUGGCUGGUCCUGGCCAGAGGACCAGCCUCCUCUUUCAGAUGGGGUCCAGUGUGGCUCCCCAGCACAGCCAUUGCUGACCCUGCUGUUGCUGCUGUCACCACACCACACCACACUGCCUCCUCUACCUGCGACCAAGGCCCAGCAGCAGCAGAGGAACGGGCAAGGGUGCUCUUUGGCCCUGCUGCCUCCUCUGCAGCUUCCCCCAUCAAGCCCAGGCUGAGGAGUCUCCCAUGGCAAGGGUGCUCUGACCACUGUGCUGCCCUGCUGAGCCCCUGACUGCUCCCUGACCUGCCACAUUUCCAGGUCUCCAGGAGCAGGCUAGGAAGGGAUGUGAGGCAGGUGUUUUUGAAGUGUCAGAACUCCUGUGGCCACGUUCCCCUCUCUGUUAGCUCUGUGCUCACGUCUCACCUGCUCCGCCCAGAGACAUCGGCCCCAUGGAGAGUCCUAGAGCCAGCUAAUGCUCAGGACAAGUGCCGGAAGGCACCCACGAGAGCCAGGACAGCAUUCCCAGCUCUAAGGCAUUCAUUUCCUUAAAAACUGAUAAUGCUGAACUAUCUUAAGUGAAAAGCUAAGCCCAGACCUGCCACCUUUCCAGGUCCCCAGGAGCAGGCUGGGUCCCUCCAGGGACCCAGAGGGCAUGUAUGGCUGGAGAUGCAGCUCAGUGGGGGAGCUGAGGUUUGGGUCCGAGCCCCUCAAAAGCAGGCAGGGUGUGAGCUGGGUGGCCACUGAGGUAUCUUCCAGGCCCUUCCCAAAGUGAGCACUGGAAUGAAGACACUGGAAUUCUAGGGAGGAUUCUUCCUCCUUUAAGAAGACAGGACCCACCAGGGAGGAUGCUCAGGUGUGUCAUCAGGGACAUUUGACUCAAAACCACAGACUCCACUUCACACCCACUAGGAGUGCACCCAGAGUGCACUGUACAUUCUUGGUGCUGAGCCAAGGCUACUCAACCGCUCCUCAGGCUGUUUGGUGACCCCACUUUCAUGCCAGGAAACUGAGGCUUAAGGGGAGAACAGCCUGAGGGGACAUGGUGCAGCAAUGCAGAUACCAGGAGGUGGUUCUGGGGCUGGCUCUUCCCUGUCCCUCCAGGGACCCAGAUCAUGGGGCUGGGUUGGGGGUCUAUGGGUGCAGCCUCACCCUGACUCCCCUGGGUCGACCAGGGUGCCUUUCACCUCUGCACUUCCUGCCCUGCCCUCUCAGCUGAGCCCCGGCUAUGGCUCCGUCUGCCCCCCAGACAGUUCCCAGCCAGACCUCUUCCAGUUCUCCACUCAGGUUACUGCCCUGCUGCAUUGCCAGCUAAUGAGCUCGGGACCUGGGGGCCCUCCUCCUGUUUCCUCUUCCUUCACCUUCCUCCGCUAACCUCUAGCCCAGAACAUCUACCCACCGUCUUGCCAGCUUCGAUCCCCUAAAUCUCCAAUCUGUCCAACUCUUGCUGUAUCUGCCACCCUGGAAUAAGGAAGUGAUCUCGUACCUGAUUUCCUGAUUCCCCUGGCUCAUCCUUACCAGCCUCCGUGCCAGUGAGUUGAUGUUUUUUUUCCCCCCGGGGUAAUGGGGCUUGAAUUCAGGGACACUCCACCACACCACUGAGCCACACCCCAGCCCUAUUUUGUAUUAUAUUUCGAGACAGGGUCUCACUGAGUUGCUUCAUGCCUUGCUUUUGCUAAACUGCAAUCCUCCUGCUUCAGCCUCCCAAACUGCUGGGUUUGCAGGUGUGCAACCCUGUGCCUGGCUCACCAGGGAGGUUUCAAAGUACAACUCUGACCCCAUGGCUCCUGCUGCAGCCCUGCAGUGGCCAUCAUGGCUCCAAGGACAAAGACCUGCAUUCUCACACAGCCAGCACAGCUCCUGCCUCCCCUUCCCCAGGGCUGUGCGGGAUACCUUGACACCUUGUCAAUCCAAAUAAUAAUCAGAGAUUCUCCAAAGAACCACCAUGCUUCCUCGGGAAGAGCAGGGCUCCACAAUGGGAACACACUGCCAUCGCAAGCCACGGUGUCCUGGAAGAGACAGUGGCAAGGCCUUAUUUUUUUCUCUCUUUUUUUAAAUAGAUGUGCUCUUCAAUCCAUAAGCUCCAUUACAUCAAUAGAACAAAGUGGGCUUAGCAUUUCACUUAAGGUAGUUCAGCAUUGUCAGUUUUUAAGGAAACGAAUGUCUUAGAAGCAAAUCAGUCUGCCUUAACAAAUUACAUUCAUGCUGAUGAAGAUUUAAUCUUCUUUGAGGGUUAUGGCCAAAAUUCAAACUGCAGGACAGUGUUCAGAAAACUUGAAGUGUGAAGUGUUGAGUUCAGUUUAGAUCAGUGUCUUCAUCAUCGUCUCCAAUGUUAUCAAGUGAGUUCCGUCCUCAUCUCCAGGACCAAAUGCAUGUUCCACUGACUCCAGCUCCGGGCUCGCGAGCCCUCAGCCGUCCAGCUUCAAACUGCCAUCAGUGUCGUUGUCCUGGUGGUCUUGGAAACCAACCCAUGGGUCUGGGGUAUUUCUUCAAACUUUUCCUCAGUUUCCCUCUGAUGUCAUUUAAUCUCCGUAUGCCAUAGACGUCCAUUUCCCAGCCUGGAUGCCCUGGGCAUGAGGUGCCAGCCUCGACGAACAGCAGCUGUUUUCAAACUCGUCCUCAUUCUUACCUCUGCUUUGUUUUUCCUCCUUUACCUCUGCUCCUGGGCAUGGCAGUGAAGGUGGCCUUGUGUUGUCUCCAACUUCUUUCCAAGGGGGCACAGUGGAGGAGGCAGAGCCUGCUGGGUGACACUGAAGAGCACAUGGGACAAAGCAGGCUCGCAGAGGCUGAGUGGCCUUCGCAGACAGUCUCAAGGCUGGGUUCUUUCUCCAGGGGCCCCAGGGCCUCCCAGCACUGUUAGGCAUUACAUGGCUUCUGGCCACUUUUGGUCACAACAGCAGCUUCACCUCCUAAGUGCUUGUGAGCAGGAUAGUUGCGACUUGGCCUGUCAGCCAGAAUGAACUGCUCUCUCCCUGCCGGUGCUCGGAUCUGCACGGCAGGAAGCUCAGGGUUUGCAGAGAUUCUUAAAUGUCUGUGCUGUGCAGAUUCAGAUUCUUUGAUGAGAUUCUCUACCAUUAAUCUACUUUCUCCACUGUUUCCUCUAUUUGAACAAAACACGAUGAUCAAAGGGAUUUCCCAGCUCUUGUCUGCCACCUCUGGUCUGUCCCCAUCCUGCCUUCUCUCCUGGGUUCCUGCACUGUGGUCCCUGAAUGCUGGGUGUCAGAACUGCAGAUGGAGGGUCAGCCGCAGGCCGGCAGCCUGCCCUGGAAGCGGAGCUUCACUGUCCACACGCUGGCCAUGCUGCUCUUGCCCCACAACAGCAGAGUUCAGUGGACAGAGGCCACUACUGCUAAAAUCCUUAUUCUCUGGCUCCUAAGGGACAGCGUGGCAAGCCCGACCUCAGUGGCACUAAGUGGGGGGCUGGCUCGCCAUCUGCUGUGUUGGCUCCUGUUUCCAGGGCCCAGUCCUGAGGACAGUAAGCCACAUGCUUGCUGGGAACACGGGAGCCCUCCCUCCUCAGCACUGAGACCAGCACGACUCGGCUUUCACUGAGCUCUUGAACACCCUCUCUGCCUCCCAACUUGUCAAGACUUGGAGGGAAGGCCAGCCCUCAGGUCUACGCUCUCUCAUGAUCAGACGCCCCUUGAUCUCUGGUUGGUCAUUAAACCAGCAUGAACAGAAACUUGGCAAACGCUGGCUGCAGAUGGCCGGCUCUUCUCUCCGUGGGCUUCCCUCUUUGAAUCAUAACCCUGUCAGUCUUUAUUGCUUCUGCAGCUUUCUGAUGCCUUUGGAGAAAUGCCUUCUGUAUCCAUGUCUGGAUUUUCUAGUUUUUUUUUUUUUAAUUUUUUUUUUUUGUGUGUGUGUGUGUGUAGUUGUAGAAAGGCAGCAUGCCCUUGUUUUAUUUAUUUUUGUAUGUGGUGCCGAGGAUCAAACCCAGUGCCUUACACAUGCUUGGCAAGUGCUCCACCACUCAGCCCUAGCCCCAGCCCCAGCCCCAGCCCUGCUUUUCUAGUUCUUAGUGAGAGACUCCAUCCACCAUAAACCACUCCAUCCUACCUGGACUUGAACAACUGCUACUCAUGUUUAAAAUUUUGAUUUCAGAUUCCAAUUGUUCAUUGCUAACAAACAAAUAUGUAUUGAAUUUUGUACAUUAACCUAGUAAUCUGUGACUUUGCUGAACUUGAUUAAAUGAAUUCGUUCUAAUAGA